AGUGAACGCUGGCGGUAGGCCUAACACAUGCAAGUCGAACGAGUGGCGGACGGGUGAGGAAUACAUCGGAAUCUACCCUCUGGUGGGGGAUAACGACUGGAAACUUACGCUAAUACCGCAUACCAUUGAAUGAGCCGAGCUCGGAUUAGCUAGUUGGCGGGGUAACGGCUCACCAAGGCGACGAUCCGUAGCUGGUCUGAGAGGAUGAUCGGCCACACUGGAACUGAGACACGGUCCAGACUCCUACGGGAGGCAGCAGUGGGGAAUAUGGGACAAUGGGCGCAAGCCUGAUGCAGCCAUGCCGCGUGUAUGAAGAAGGCCUUCGGGUUGUAAAGUACUUGCAGCGGGGAGGCGUUACCCGCAGAAGAAGCACCGGCUAACUCCGGGCCAGCAGCCGCGGUAAUUC
rnacentral:rRNA from 1 species